AGCAGCCGCGGUAAUUCCAGCUCCAAUAGCGUAUAUUAAAGUUGUUGCAGUUAAAAAGCUCGUAGUUGAAUUUCGGGGUCAGUAGAUUGGUCAUGCCACUGGUAUGUACUGGUCUCACUGAUUCCUCCUUCCUGAUGAGCCGUAAUGCCAUUAAUUUGGUGUUGCGAGGAAUCUGGACUGUUACUUUGAAAAAUUAGAGUGUUUAAAGCAGGCUAACGCUUGAAUACAUUAGCAUGGAAUAAUGAAAUAGGACGUUCGAUCUUAUUUUGUUGGUUUCUAAGAUUGACGUAAUGGUUAAUAGGGAUAGUUGGGGCAUUAGUAUUCAAUUGUCAGAGGUGAAAUUC
rnacentral:rRNA from 1 species